CCAUGUGAAUAUCUAUCUAUAUAUAUUUCUAAAUUCUUAAUCGGAAUGAUACUUUUUUUAGUAAAAUAAAAUAGAAAAUCAACUAAAUAUGUGCAAAAAUGUGCAUAGGCAUGAGGGAUCAGAGCUAGAAUGUUUCCCAAUCGUACCAAACAAAGCGUGCGGGAUAUUUUAUUCAAUAUAUUGCAUUAUAAUGGGAUGUAUUUUCCUUUUCUUUGACAUAAUAACAUUUGGGACUCAUUUUCACCAUACAUCAGGAGACUGUUUUAUAAUGGCUGUAUCAAUUUUGUAUGUUAUCGCUGGAUUUUUUUUAUUCUUUGGAAUAUUGCUUGAAAUUACUUUCUUCAUCGUGGUGGGAAAAGUUUUCAGUUACUUUUGGCCAUUACUGUAUUGCAUUCUCGUAUUUCCAUUAUUUAUUCAUAUAAUGAGCGUCAUAAAAAUUUGUGCUUUUAAAAGACAUAUCCAGUAGAUGCAGCCGAGUAUUUUUUUUAAAUU
rnacentral:sRNA from 1 species